AGCGAACGCCGGCGGCAGGCCUAACACAUGCAAGUCGAACGAACUCUUCGGAGUUAGUGGCGGACGGGUGAGUAACACGUGGGAACGUGCCUUUAGGUUCGGAAUAACUCAGGGAAACUUGUGCUAAUACCGAAUGUGCCCUUCGGGGGAAAGAAUUAUCGCCUUUAGAGCGGCCCGCGUCUGAUUAGCUAGUUGGUGAGGUAAAGGCUCACCAAGGCGACGAUCAGUAGCUGGUCUGAGAGGAUGAUCAGCCACGUUGGGACUGAGACACGGCCCAAACUCCUACUGGAGGCAGCAGUGGGGAAUCUUGCGCAAUGGGCGAAAGCCUGACGCAGCCAUGCCGCGUGAAUGAUGAGGGUCUUAGGAUUGUAAAAGUCUUUCACCGGGGACGAUAAUGACGGUACCCGGAGAAGAAGCCCCGGCUAACUUCGUGCCAGCCGCCGCCGUAA
rnacentral:rRNA from 1 species